rnacentral:lncRNA from 1 species
UUCGUUUUCCCACUGUAAAGCUCUCUUUGGGAAGCAUUGUGAUAAGUGUAAGGCUAAGGCACAAUUUGUAAAUCCCUUUGGUAAGUUACCUGGAAGUAAUGAGUGUGAGGCACAAGGAAGAGGUGAUAAGGUUAUGGUACCUGUAAGAGCUAUCUGCCGAUUGGUGGAGUUAUUAAUCUCGGAUGCCAAAUUGCAAGAUGAUGAGUUUGUUAAAAAGGUCCGAAAAAUUGUGGAUGUGUGGGAGAAUGACUUUGUGAAAAUUGCGACAAAUAUGAAGAUGCUUGGUUUAACGUAAACCUUCAUCCCACAAUUUUUUAUUGUUUUUAUCUUUCAUUUUUUUAUUUGUUGAUUUGAGUAUUUGUUUUCUACAGAGGAGAUGUUUCGUUAUGUACUCUACUUUUUGGUAAGGGUGUCGUGUGCGGUACUUCGUCGUGUCUGGAAUACGAAGGAAAUGGAAACUGUUUGGUGGUAAAACAUGGGAUUUCCACAGAGUUGAUUAGGGAGAAAGACUAUGUCAAGAAGUUUGGAUUCCAAACGAUAAGAAAGUCGAUGUAGCCUUGUUCAUGUUGAUGUUAUAUGAACAUAAGUAAAAUUCUAACUCUUAUCUAUUUUUUUUUAUGAUGAUAACUUCAAAAUUUUCUUUGUUUGGGUAUAUUCCAGAGCUAAAGCUAAAGUUGAAACUGAGAGUGCCAUCGCGCCUGCCUCUUCUAGUGCUCCAAUAGUUACUGAGUAAAACCCUACCCUAAUCCUAGAUUUUUUUUUUUUUUUUUUAUGAUAUAUUUAAAUAUUCAUAAUUUUGAUUUAUUGCAGGGGCUUGGUUGAGAUUGAGAACACUGAUGGCACAACUACCAACACUGUUGAUGGCACAACUACCAAUCCUCUAAAGACCUUGAUGUCAAAUUUAGAAGUAAGCUAGGAAAUGUUCGUGAAGCCGCAAUGGCGAUUGGAGCUGUUUUCACUAUAUGUACAGGUGCAACAAAUACUGUUGCUUGCAUUCAAAAAUGUGUUGAGGAUGCAUCUGCUGCUGAAAUUUAAAAAAAAUAUAGAGAAAACAUUCUUGUUCCCCAUUAUAUCCCAUUUUUUUUAGGUUUUUUGUAAUUUUCAAUGCAGUUCUUUGUUGAAAUGUUAGACGUUCUGGAGUAAUGUGGUUUUUGUUGAAUUGGAUAUGGUAGAAAUGUUGAAAGGAGUAAUGUGGUUUUUGUGGAAUUGAGCAUUAUAAAAAGUCUUGUUUCUGCCUUAUUUUAUUGGGGGCUGAUUGUUUCUGGAGAAUUGGUUAUUUGCUUUCCUUUCUCUGUAAUGACCCAAAUCUUUUUUCAUAAGGGGUAGUGGGAAGAGGGCCACACCCACUCCCUUAUGCUACCAACUUCGGUUGCAGGGUGGAAGAUCAAGACUUUUGGUUAAUUGCUGGUGAGAAG